CCCAUUUUAUACGGUACUUGUAAUUCUGUCACACGUAAUAUUUCCUAGUCUCCUAAUUCCCACAGUGACACUCUGUGUACAUUAAAUGGAUAUUAACAGAUAAAAGUUUCUCACCCAUUUAGACAGGCCAUAUUAGAGCUGCAAGAUGAAAACACCAGUUGGCUAACUGCAAUUUUUUUUCUCACCUCACCCCAUUACCUCAGUCAAUAUCUAAUCAUCCUCUUCCUCCUUCUGAUGUUUCUAUUGAUUCUCCAGACAAGUUUUACCAUGCUCCUUAGCAUGUGUAUUAAUGAUCUACUGCUUUCUUUCUUUCUGUCUGUUUCACAUGCAAACAUCUGCCGUGCUGCUGGGUCAAAGACACUUUGUAAAGGGAUUCCCUUGGGAGAAGCUUGCUUCUGAGUGUCAGAGGAAAAAGUCACUCUCUUUCAACACGUGAGUGGGCGGCAACAAAAGAAAAGCUACAGGCCGCUCUCAUCCCUGAGUGUGUCCCUGGUGAUCUAAAUGCGUCCCCGUUUUGGUAAGUAAGAAAUAUGUUUCAUACAACGACUAUUGUAAACCGUUGCCUCUUCUCACACUCAGAUUACAGGACUGCAUCGGUUUUAACAACCAUAGGUGUAAAGGAUUAGCUUGUUGCAACAGAUCAUCUGGCUUGUCUAUGCACCUUAAAUUUUCCCAUAUAAUCUUUUAUGAUCAUAGAUUAGGUUUACAAUGAGUAAGUGUCAUAUUUUUUGUUGCAUCAUCCAGAUGCAGUAUCCUGAAGUGAAUCAGGGUUUUCAAGGUACACCAGUAUUUUCUGAAGGGUUAGGAUGUAUGAUUUUUCCAUCAGUCGACUGUUUUUUGUAGCAAUGGUUAAUACAGUAUUAAACAAGAUUAGAAGAAUUUGAUUAAUAAAAAAAGGUAGGGUAAUAUAAUCUUGUAGUUUUAUAUAGUAAUAAUUAUAAAACUACAAAUAGAAUAGUG
rnacentral:lncRNA from 1 species